rnacentral:rRNA from 1 species
GACGAACGCUGGCGGCGUGCUUAACACAUGCAAGUCGAACGGGCCUUGUCCCCUUUUUUUUUGGGGGUGGGGUUAGUGGCGAACGGGUGAGUAACACGUGAGUAACCUGCCCCUCACUUCUGGAUAACCGCUUGAAAGGGUGGCUAAUACGGGGUGUUCUGGCCUGCUCGCAUGGGUGGGUUUGGAAAGAUUCGACCGGUUUGGUUGUUUUGGUGGGGAUGGGCUCGCGGCCUAUCAGCUUGUUGGUGGGGUGAUGGCCUGCCAAGGCUUUGACGGGUAGCCGGCCUGAGAGGGUGGGCGGUCACACUGGGACUGAGACACGGCCCAGACUCCUACGGGAGGCAGCAGUGGGGAAUAUUGCACAAUGGGCGCAAGCCUGAUGCAGCGACGCCGCGUGAGGGAUGGAGGCCGUCGGGUUGGGAACCUCUUUCGCCAGUGAAGAAGGUCCUGCUCUUUGUGGUGGGGUUGACGGUAGCUGGGUUAAUGAAGCGCCGGCUAACUACGUG